GAGACAGCCCGGUAAGGUAGAUACGCAGGAUGAUUUCUCUUGUGUUUAUUUGAGAAAAUUUCAUCCUGCUUACCGGGACAAUUUUGUUGUUUUGACAUUGUUUUGACAGUUGUUAAAAAUAGCUUGCGGCAGUAUCAUUGAACUUUCAUCCUGGCAACUGGGCUAGCCUGCUUGUGAUUGUUUAUAUGGAGAAAUUUCCAUCCUGGUCUCUGCAACAGGGCCUCCCGCUUGUACAUAGAAACAAUUUUAAUUAUAAUUUUUACUAUAAAAAUAAGUAGACAGCGAGAUCUCACUUACCGGGCUGUCUCACUUAGUGGGCCAGCCAGUUUCGAUAUAAACAGGCCCUUAAAAGCUGCAAGUUUCCUUAAAGCAAUAUCGUCUAUAUCACAGAAUACAGUUUCUGUAGUGACAUACUUUGUGUGUUUUCUGUCUUUAAAGUGUCUUAUGUUUGUAAUAUUUUUGUACAAUACCUUUUUGAAAUUGUUGAUACUGGUCUCAUUGUAACUCAGUUAUUCCUUCUCAAGAAAAAUAAAAAAACAAAGCUGUGUGGGUGUGUUUUUGCUCUAGUUUUUACAUCUACAUGAUUCAUGUACAAUUAAUGUACAUUUAAAUUAGCUUUGUUCAAUGAAUACAGGUGUGAUUCAAAUAUCAUUCCUAUCUGGUACUUGGGUCAAAUAGACAUAAGCAUACCAAAUCAUGCUAUGAAUUGAAAUACAAGUAUAGGGUGUGUAUUGUUUAAAUAAAUAUAUUUUCCAGUUAACCCAGUAAGCUGCAUUGUGCCCCAAUGCACCCUACUUUACUAGUUUAUUUCACUUCAUCUAAUGCCAGAUGAUUUUACUUAUCGAGGGAGAGUGCUGCUGCUCAUUGAGCUCUGAUUGAGUUCACUGAGUGGCAGCACUUUCCCCUUGACGAGUGAAAUUGUCUGGUGUUAGACAGAGUAAAAUAAUCUUGUGUUCACUAAAGUAGCUACUUUUUCAAAAGCUCAACCAGGCUAAAGAUUCUUUGAUUUGAAAACCAAAGUGAUAGUGAACUAGUUAGUUGAAACAAACAGAAUUGUUCGAUUUAUUUACUUUCCACAACAUAAUUUGACAAUUAAAAUUUAAUUUGAUACUUUUCCAGUAUGCAUUCUUCAUUGACAUUAUAGAGGUUCAGAUUUGACUACCAUUACCAUUAAGGGACCAUCAAAUGCAUUUGAUAUAUUCGAUCAACCAUUAUAACCAAUCAAAUGCAUACUAAGGCAGUCAGAGAUAGUGCUAGUAGAACUCAAAUAUUAACCUCUACAAUGAAAGUGCGAGUUUAUUCAUAAACUAAUUAUACGUAAAUCAACUUUCAUGCAAUCAUCUAGUUAUGCACCAGUCAAUGUAAACCCUGCCCCCAACCGGGGAGGGGCGGGAGGUUUAGUGGGGAAAGUGGUCCGUUUUGAUUAUAAAUUUGCCCCAAUGAUGGGAGACUUGGAUGGUGGUUAAUAUAUAUAUCCUGUGUUGCUGUUUUAGUUUUCUUGACAAGAAAAGUUUAAAUACAACAACAUAAAUGAAUUUGAUUUUCUAUUGCUGAUCUAUGAUUAUACAAAACUAUUUUCCCGCGGUUGAGAGACAUGCAGGGGACAUUGAUGUCCCUGGGGGCGGGACAAUUUUGCUCUUUUACUACCCCUCCAAGUCAAAAUCCCUGCCCCUCCCCGGUUGGGGGGUUUACAUUGACUGGUGCAUUAAUUAAAGAGGUGUCAGUGCCACAUAUGUAGUAAAAGCCAACUUGUCAGUAAAGGCCAGUAGGCCACAGAGCAAGAUUGUAUUUCAAAGAUUGCCAGUGACAAGAACAAUUGAUAGGCCUGAAACAGAGUAUGCUAACAGUUAGUAUACUGCAAAUAACUAUUCUAUCAACAAGAUAAUGACCGAUGUGUGUUUUUACAAAUGUUUUUAUAUAUCAAUCCAAUGGCAUGUAACCUAAAAUUCAGCAGUGUCUGUGUAAUGUAAUACACCCUUACUUCUUAAUGGUCAAAUUAACUAUACUACAUUGUGUAUAAUAAUAUAUGGACUGGUUCAAAAAUAUAUUGAAUUAAUAACUUAUAAGUG